rnacentral:pre_miRNA from 1 species
GCGUUAAAACGGUUGUGAAUUAUGUUGCAAUAGUAAGCCAUAUCACAGCCAUUUUGACGAGUU